CAGCAGCCGCGGUAACACCAGCCCCUCGAGUGGUGGGGAUGAUUAUUUGGCCUAAAGCGUCCGUAGCUUGCCGGAAAAGUUUCCCGUUAAAUCCGACGUCUCAAGCGUUGGACUGCGGGAAAUACUGUCCGGCUAGAGAGUGGGAGAGGUUAGCGGUAUUCUGGGGGUAGGGGCGAAAUCCUUUGAUCCCCGGAGGACCACCAGUGGCGAAGGCUGCUGACUAGAACACGUCUGACGGUCAGGGACGAAAGCUGGGGUAGCGAACCGGAUUAGAUACCCGGGUAGUCCCAGCCGUAAACGAUGCAUGCUAGGUGUUGGGUUGGCCUCGAGCCACCCCAGUGCCGCAGGGAAGCCGUUAAGCAUGCCGCCUGGGAAGUACGAUCGAAAGGUUGAAACUUAAAGGAAUUGGCGGGGGAGCAC
rnacentral:rRNA from 2 species